rnacentral:rRNA from 1 species
UUGAACUGAAGAGUUUGAUCCUGGCUCAGAUUGAACGCUGGCGGCAUGCCUUACACAUGCAAGUCGAACGGCAGCACGGGAGCAAUCCUGGUGGCGAGUGGCGAACGGGUGAGUAAUACAUCGGAACGUGCCCUGUUGUGGGGGAUAACUAGUCGAAAGAUUAGCUAAUACCGCAUACGACCUGAGGGUGAAAGCGGGGGACCGAAAGGCCUCGCGCAAUAGGAGCGGCCGAUGUCUGAUUAGCUAGUUGGUGGGGUAAAAGCUCACCAAGGCGACGAUCAGUAGCU